rfam:Brachypodium distachyon strain Bd21 chromosome 1, whole genome shotgun sequence.
AAACUACUCACUCCGUCCCAUAAUAAGUGACGCAAUAUUACAUGUAUCUAGACGUUUUUUGGAUAUAGAUACAUCCAUAUUUGAACAAAUUUGAGUCACUUAAUAUGAAACGGAGGGAGUAAUUG